GGGGGCGACACGGCUUCGACGUGGGUGCUGAAGCAUAAGGAGCAUACCGGGGAGUAUGAGGACCUCGUUAAAAACAUACACUUUGUAAUUGGCAACGAUUACGCACUUGCAGCUUAAUUUAAUUUAAGCGCACGAGCCCUCGCUAGUGGUGACGCCGCGAGAUCAGUUCGUCAUUAGUUACCAAGGCUCUAGUGGGUUUCGCAGCGCUAGGGCCGAGAUAAAGCUGCGAAAAAUGUUGUGUGCGGAUUCUGUCGGUAGAAGACGCACAACCAAAUUAAAUUACCGGCUAAGUAUGUAGCGCCUUAUCGUGGAUCGCUUGCGGACGGGGGUUCAAUUCCCCCCGCCUCCACCA
rnacentral:tmRNA from 1 species